CCCCCCCCCCUUUGUUCUUCAUCAUCCCGUAAAGGGGAACUAAAGUUCCCCUUUAGGGGAAGAACUUAAGGGGAUGGAAACCAAAGGUUCCCCCCCCCCUUUGGGACACCCAAAGGGGUUCCCCUUUAGGGGAAGACAACCUUUGGUUUUCGUCCCCUAGGGUUGUCCCCCCCCUUCGGUUCCCCUUUAGGGGAUGAAGAAGAAGACACCCUUUGGGCUUCCUUUGGGUUUCAUCCCCUAAAGUGGAACUAAAGGGGAUGCCAUCCCCGAAGGGGAACCCCUUCGGUUAUCGUCCCCUAAAGGGGAACCAAAGGGUUGUUAUCAUUCCCUUAAGGGACUUUGGUUCCCCUUUAGGGGACGACCAAAGGGAGCCCUUGACACCAAACUUGACGAGCCCUUUGGGUGUCUUCUUUAGUUCAUCCCCUAAAGGGGAACAAACUUUAGUUCCCCUUUAGGGGAUGAACUAAAGGGAAUGACACCCCCUAGGAUAUCCCCUUCGGUUUUCAUUCCCUUUAGGGACAACCCCGAAGGGGGUUGUCUUACCCUUUAGGGGGAACAAGAAGGGGGACAAGAAGGGGAACCCAAAGGUUCCCUUUGGGUAUGAAAACCCUAGGGGACUAAAGAGCCCUUCCCUUUGGUCGUCCCCCUAAAGGGGAACCAAAGUCCCUUAAGGGAAUGAUGACAAGGGGACAAGGGGUUCCCCUUUAGUUCCCCUUUAGGGGAAGAAGAAGAAGGGGACGAAGGUAUGAGCGCAAGCGUUGUGAGGGAAGUUAAGACUAGCUGUUUUUAAGGGCGAAGCCCCGUGACGCAGGCCUUNN
rnacentral:lncRNA from 1 species